CCCAUUUCAGUCAAAUGCCAUACCGAGGGACUACACAGCUGAGGCGAGAAGGAAAGGAAAAGUGCGCACUAGUGAAGUAGUUUCCGCGCAAGGUAUGACUAGAACAGGUAGGGCAUACACACCAGAGCACCUAGCUGAGUCCAGCAAGCAGGCCUCUGGACGUCCUAUAGAAACUGGACCUGAUGAUCUCUGGAGAAAGAUACACGCUAAGGAAUAUUCAGUUGUUGAACAGAUAAACAAGACUCCGGUGCAGAUUUCCAUCUUAGCAUUACUUCAGAGUUCUGAGGCGCAAAAGAAUGCCUUGAUGAAGAUAUUGAGCGAGGCUUAAGUCCCGAGCAACAUAACAUGAGGAGAAAUGGAAAACAUGAUAGGGCAGGUAUUGGAAAGUCACAAAAUCACUUUUCACGAGGAUGAAUUGCCACGUGAAGGGCUUAGUCAUAUCAAAGCACCGCAUCAUUUCAUCACCAGAAUCUUAGUCGAUGAAGAUUCCAGUCUCAACAUUUGUCCACUGAUCACCUCAAGAAGUUAGUGAAAGGAUUGCAUGAGAUAAAAGAUGGGGCUAUUAAUUUUAAGGCUUUUGACGGUUCUCAGAGGUCCACUCUUGGGGAGAUUAGCAUGUGUUUUCAAAUGGGACCCACUUGGUUUGAUGUCGAUUUCCAAGUCAUGGACGUACCGGUAUCUUACAACUUACUGCUAGGAUGACCCUGGAUCCACGCCGCUGGGGCUGUAGCAUCAACCUUACACCAGGCUGUGAAGUUCGAAUGGAACCACCAGGAAGUAAUUAUCCAUGGCGAUGGUAGCAACCUCAUAUACAGUUGCCAGACCCUUCCAAUGAUCGUAGGCAGAAGUGAAUAGGCGAGAAACAUAUCAUCAUAUUGAGCGAGUCAACGUGGUGGAUAAAGACAAAUGAUGGAGCAACAAGGUCUAGAGCAUUCUAAAUUGGAGUGGGUAUGAGCCAGGGAAAGGGCUUGGUAAGAAUCUUCAAGGUAUCACCAAACCUAUCUAGUUGAAGAAACAUGGUACUACCUUCGGACUGGGGUAUGAGUAUAUUUGGCAGGAAUUCAAAAAUUGGUCACCACCAUUGCGCGGCCCAUAUUACCCAUUGGCACGUCACCAAACCUAUUCAGUUGAAGAAACAUGGUACUACCUUUGGACUGGGGUACGAGUACACUUUGGCAAGAAUUCAGAAACUGGUUACCACCAUGGUGAGACCCAUAUUACCCAUUGGGAUGCCCCAUACCUCAGUUGGAUCAGACAUUUCAACCAGCCGACACUCUCUACUGGUCAGAAGAAGACAAGGCUCUUGCGGAAAUUAAGAACAUGUUUCUGGAGGACAUGGACUGUUGUGUGAUUUUUGAAGAGGAACGGGAGGAAGGCCCUUCCAUUCAGGUUGUGAACCGAGGGGAGCGCCUCACCAACUGGUCAAUUAGGACCACCAUCGCCCGGAAACCUGUGGGGUAGCAAGGCUGAACAAGCAUCAUGCAUCAUUGUUUUAGUUGUUUUCUUUAUUUUCCGCAUUUGUCUUUACUUUACAAAUGAGCUCCGAUG
rnacentral:lncRNA from 1 species